CUACGGGUUGCAGCAGUGAGGAAUAUUGCACAAUGGGGGGAACCCUGAUGCAGCAACGCCGCGUGGAGGAUGACGCAUUUCGGUGUGUAAACUCCUUUUAUAUGUCAAGAAAAUGACGGUAGCAUAUGAAUAAGCACCGGCUAACUCCGUGCCAGCAGCCGCGGUAAUACGGAGGGUGCAAGCGUUACUCGGAAUCACUGGGCGUAAAGGACGCGUAGGCGGGUUGGAAAGUCAGGUGUGAAAUCCUACAGCUUAACUGUAGAACUGCACUUGAAACUGGUAACCUAGAGUAUGGGAGGGGGAGGUGGAAUUAGUGGUGUAGGGGUAAAAUCCGUAGAUAUCACUAGGAAUACCUAAAGCGAAGGCGAUCUCCUGGAACAUAACUGACGCUGAGGCGUGAAAGCGUGGGGAGCAAACAGGAUUAGAUACCCGGGUAGUC
rnacentral:rRNA from 1 species